AACGGCUUGAGAUGAGUUUCACAGGCUUUGAGGAGCCCCCUCCCAAUUAUUCCUGUUUCCUGCAGCCAGCUAAGAAAGAAGAUUUCUUUUUAAUGUCUGGAAGCAGCUGAUUCUCCUGGGCAGGGGGGGUUGCAGGAAGCUGCUCCAGACCCUCAUUCCCAAGCGGGAAUUUGCUCCACUCUGUUUCCUGUGCUCAGCAUUAACCACUCCCUGGGGUGUCCACUGUGCUGCUUCUGGAAAAUGAGAAGCUGAUCCUCCCAAUCUGGCAGGGGAGGAGGUGACAAUCACCUUGUCUGUGUGUAAGCAACCACCUGAAAAUGAAGAGGUUUGUUUUGGGCAGAGAGCCUGGCAGCAUUUUUCCAUGGAAGUAAAACUUGGGAAUGGACCUGCAGCUGAGAGAAGCCUGCAAAUACUGAUUUUAUUUGUUUCUCCCCCUUGAAAACACCUCUCUGC